rnacentral:rRNA from 1 species
UACGUAGGGGGCGAGCGUUGUCCGGAUUCAUUGGGCGUAAAGCGCGCGUAGGCGGCUCCGCAAGUCGGCCGUGAAAUCUCCGGGCUCAACUCGGAGGGGUCGGGCGAGACUGCGAGGCUCGAGGUGGGCAGAGGGCAGUGGAAUUCCGGGUGUAGUGGUGGAAUGCGUAGAGAUCCGGAGGAACACCAGUGGCGAAGGCGGCUGCCUGGGCCUGGCCUGACGCUGAGGCGCGAAAGCGUGGGUAGCAAACAGG